ensembl:rRNA 5S_rRNA 5S ribosomal RNA
GUCUAUGGCCAUACCACCCUGAACACAUCCGAUCUUGUCUGAUCUUGGAGGCUAAGCAGUGUCGGGCCUGAUUAGUACUUGGAUAGGAGAUGUGAUAAUUCCUAAAGUUUAAGGAAAGCAAACCCUUACUGAUC